GGAAUUGAGAUUUUUAUUCAGACCCUGAAUAUCCAAAUGAACUUACAGUGAUGAGUUAUUUAUUUUAAUUAUUUUCUGCUAUUGAUUUAUUUCCCAGCAGCAUGCAUAUCUCAACCACCAUCUCCUUAGCAGCUGAGUGCUGACCUUCUGCCUCCACUUCCACCUAAAAGUCUCUCAGCUCCUCCUAAAGUGUCAGAAUACAUGCAGGGGGAAGGACCAGGAACUCAUUCCUCAUCUACAGAGUUUAACGCUCUGGUGCAUUUGUUGGAGAUCUCGUGGUUCCAGGAGAAUUUAUCUGCCAAUUACUUCUCAAGAAAUAGCAAAGGGUCAUGCAGCACUUGGCAGCUAAGAGCAGAAAGGGGAGAAGAGAAUCAGGUUUUAAUUGAAUCUCAAGGUGUCUCCAUUUGGGGGAGAAGCAGAAAGGGGAAGAGUGAAGAUAGGAAAUGUGAUGAGGAGUGGAAAACAUCUUGCUGGAGAUACUUCAGAAUCAAGCAGCUCCUUGUGUUUGCAGAGAUCAAGGCUGUCUGUCAAACUGCACAUCCUGUGCCUGAGAAAUGCCUUAGGUCAGGAUGCAGGUGGGUUUCCAAGCUCCAGCAGUAAAUCCUCUUCCCACAUCCAGCUCUGCCCCCUCAGCUUCAGGGGAAGGGCUGGCGGAGACAGCACAGCCCAUCCCCAGGAAGAUGCUGCCUGUGCUCAAAGCCCCAGGAGUCACCCAGGGAUCCCCUUCCCACUCCUCCCCCUUACCCUGAUCCUUGCUGCUCUGCUUUGUCUGCACAUCUUUAUCAAUGGCUUGUUCUGAGCUGCUAAGGGAAAAUCUGUUCUAAAGGGGAAAAAAUGUCUGUAGUAUAAAGAAGAUUGUUACAAGAAAAUCCUCACAUGUUAGCAAAAACACCUCAAUUUUCUUCAAGAAGUAAAUCCCAAAUCUCUGCGCAGAACUUUCUUAAUAACAACAAAUAGGAACUCUGUUCAUAAAUUCACAUUAUACAAUAUACACAAAACAGUGCAAAAAUAGCAUGAAUGCUUAAACUCCAAAUGCAUUAUGUUUAAAAUAACUGCAAAAAGCCAGUGUUCUCUUCCCUCAUCCUCAUCUAUUUUAGGGAUAACAUAGAUGGUUUAAUAACAUGCAAUAUAAUAAUCAUAUAUGCUAAACCUCCCUAAACACAACAAAAUAGGUCCUGGACAGUUCCAACACACUGAGGGGACUUGAGUUCUUGUCCUGACUCAUUCAGUGAAAUGAUUUCCUGUAGAUGCAGAAUGGUUAAUUAACAUUUUGUGCCCUUGAAAAUAUCACACACAUAUUUUCCCAAGUGGCUGCAAAAUUCUAAGCUCUUUUAACACUACAGUUUGGUGAAAACCAAACUAAGGUAACUUGACUAGUGAGGCUACAUUGGCUGUUCAAGUGAUACUUCACAGUCACUUGAGGCUUACUGGUGGCAGACACUUGUUUUAUUUGGCAUGAGCCUGGGGUUUGGUUCAUGUGAAUCUUUUGAUUUUGCUCAUAGUCCAGAUGGUCUCUUGCAAGUCUGGGGCAAGUGUCCUUGGUCUCCUGGGUGCUGCAGGGUAUGAAUAUCUACCUUGCUUACAAGAAGACAGCAGCAAUAAAUAUUUGUGACACUAAUCACAAAACACUUAAUGGGCUUCACAAAUGAUUUCCAGGAAAUAAGAGAAUUUCUUCACCUGCCGUGGAAAUGCACCUGAAGCUGGGGCAGAGAGCAACACUGCUCUGUGGUACACAACUACAGAGAUCACUAGGGCUUACAGGACAAGAGUACAGCUUCCAGCUGAAACAACCAGAGGAAUUUGGACAGGAAAAAUAAAGUUAUCCAAAAGAAACUCAGACCACAACGUGGGAAGUACUUCUGUUACAUUAGGGAGCAUUUACUGUUAGUUUGUUCAUUAUUAGUUUGCUAAUUGUAGCAAAUCUGUCUAGUCUGGAUCUCGGGUUUCUGUGCUACCAGCACUGCAGUGUUUGCAGAGACAUGAUAUGAAGCUCAUGACACCCAGCUUUGGUUAUUCCUAAUGUAGGAGUCUCCCCCUGAGAGUCCCU